UAUGCACUCUACUGUAAGUCGCUCUGGAUAAGAACGUCUGCUAAAUGACUUAAA
rfam:Salmo salar isolate Sally breed double haploid chromosome ssa01, whole genome shotgun sequence.